rnacentral:rRNA from 1 species
AACGAACGCUGGCGGCAUGCCUAACACAUGCAAGUCGAACGAAGGCUUCGGCCUUAGUGGCGCACGGGUGCGUAACGCGUGGGAAUCUGCCCUUUGGUUCGGAAUAACAGCUUGAAACGGCUGCUAAUACCGGAUGAUGACGAAAGUCCAAAGAUUUAUCGCCAGAGGAUGAGCCCGCGUUGGAUUAGGUAGUUGGUGGGGUAAAGGCCUACCAAGCCGACGAUCCAUAGCUGGUCUGAGAGGAUGAUCAGCCACACUGGGACUGAGACACGGCCCAGACUCCUACGGGAGGCAGCAGUGGGGAAUAUUAGGCAAGGGGCGCAAGCCUGAUCCAGCAAUGCCGCGUGAGUGAUGAAGGCCCUAGGGUUGUAAAACUCUUUUACACGGGAAGAUAAUGACUGUACCGGGAGAAUAAGCCCCGGCUAACUCCGUG